AUGACACCCACGGGCGCCGCGUCGUCGGUGCCGGCAGAAGCCACGCAGGCUAUCACCCGGAGCAACUGGCCUCCACACCCCCACGCAACCAGCCACGUCAGGGACGACCUGCAGCUGAUCCGCACACCUCCGACGCCAUGGCGGCGCCACCACCACGCCGGAUCCAUGCACCUUGCCGCCGGCAGGCGCCGACGAGCCGUACCCAGCCAAGACGACCAGAUCCGGCGACCCCCCAGCUGCAGCAUCGUCGCAGAGGCCACCAAAGGCCGGCGAGCAGCAGGCCCGCGAGCGAAGGAGCCACCAUAA
rnacentral:rRNA from 1 species